GGAAUUACAGGAAUGUGCCACCAUGUCCCAGCCAAGAGUGAAAAACUCAUUACAAGGAUACUUCAAAUGCUUUUGAUUAAGAAGUUGUAAGGAAGAUUUUUUUCUUAAGGAUUUGGAAACUGAUGUGCAGGAUUAGUUGAAAAAAGAGCUACCACUAGAUGGCACUUAAAAUCCAUGAGACCCAGAGAUACCGCAAUGGGACGCAAGAAGACCCAGGACAAGAACACAACUCAAGUUCUCAGAACAGUAUUAUCUAUUUGAUGGAGAAGAAAAGCAGGUCCAAGAUUAUCUCGAGAUGAUUGGAGGCAGAGGAACAAGACACAGUAUAAGAACACUAUGAUGCACAAAACAGCAGUGGAGUGUAACAACUGACUUCAGCAAUGUUGCAGUGGCUGACCAGUCUCAGUGGAUGUGGC